UGGACAGAUUAUUGUAUUCAACUGUAUUCACGACGUGAAAUAGGGGAUUACACUGUUUUUAAAACGGAAAGUGAAUCAAUUAACAUAAUAGACUCCU
rnacentral:pre_miRNA from 1 species